CCUACGGGAGGCAGCAGUGAGGAAUAUUGGUCAAUGGUCGCGAGACUGAACCAGCCAAGCAGCGUGAAGGAGGAAUGCACAGCGUAUCGUAAACCUCUUUUAUCAAGGAAUAAAGUGUGGGACGUGUGCCUGGUUGUGUGUACUUGAUGAAUAAGCAUCGGCUAACUCCGUGCCAGCAGCCGCGGUAAUACGGAGGAUCCGAGCGUUAUCCGGAUUUAUUGGGUUUAAAGGGAGCGGAGACGGGUUGUUAAGUCAGUUGCGAAAGUUCGGGGCUCAACCGCAGACUUGCGAUUGAUACUGGCAGUCUUGAGUACAGGUGAGGUAGGCGGAAUGCGCGGUGUAGCGGUGAAAUGCUUAGAUAUCGCGCAGAACUCCGAUUGCGAAGGCAGCUUACCAACUCGACACUGACACUGAGGCUCGAAAGUGUGGGUAUCAAACAGGAUUAGAUACCCCAGUAGUC
rnacentral:rRNA from 1 species